rnacentral:rRNA from 1 species
GACUGAGGGGGGCUGCUCCUAGUACGAGAGGACCGGAGUGGACGCAUCACUGGUGUUCGGGUUGUCAUGCCAAUGGCACUGCCCGGUAGCUAAAUGCGGAAGAGAUAAGUGCUGAAAGCAUCUAAGCACGAAACUUGCCCCGAGAUGAGUCUUCCCUGAGAUUUUAAGUCUCCUGAAGGAACGUUAAAGACGAUGACGUUGAUAGGCCGGGUGUGUAAGCGCAGCGAUGCGUUGAGCUAACCGGUACUAAUGAACCGUGAGGCUUAACCUUACAACGCCGAAGCUGUU